GAAAUAUGGUAUAACUGUAACUGUGACUUGGUUUGUGGUCAUCGCGCGGGUAUCCUGUGGUGUCACAAUCGAUCCAUCCAUAUCCAGUCAAUCGUGCAACUCCCAGGCCCACUCGGUCUCACAAGGGGAAUGUGAUUUUACGCGUUUUUUGCCUCCUAUCUUAACUAGAAAAUAGUAUUUAUUGAGAAAGAUGAGGAUUUAAAUAGGCUGAUUGUGGUCGAGGGCUAAACAAGUCUUUGAGGAACCGUUUCGUCUGAAGAAACUGAUAAGAUAAGACGUACGAGUUGAUAGUAAAAUCUACCCGAGUUUUCGUGAAUCCGCCCGUCUCGUUCUUCUUCAAUUGUAAACAGCAGCUAAAAAGAGGAUCAAAACAAAAAGGUGAAUAAAGCAAGGACUAAAGUAUAGCUGUCAUUAUAGGCUGGCUGAAAUGAAAGCAGAUAUAAAUAAACGUUUUUCGUAUUACUUUUUUGCUUAGUAUAAUUAUAUUCAAUCAACACACAUUCUUUCCCUAUAGCCAACAUAAUCUGCUCUUGCUCUGCUGAUACUUCCCUAAAGUCUGUGUGGAUAUAAGUCUUUAACUGUCAACAAUUGACCAUGUUAUGAUUUCUGAUGCUUGAAGACCAGGUCUUCUGUACUUACUGCAAAGUUACUUACUGCAACUGUAAUUAACUGCAAACUGAUUGCAUUAUUCUCAUGUGCAUAGGUAACAACAAUAAAUACUAUUUGCAUAUAUAACAAAA